CCAGCGCGGUACCGGCCCCGCGGGGCAGCGGCACCUCCGGGGCUGCCCCGGGCCAGGCUCACAGAGCUCAUGGCCGCCCCUCAGCGCGGUCAGGGCUUCCGCGACACAGCCGGACACAGCCACCGUCCCGCCCCUCGGCGCAGGGUCGAUGGGAGUCCCAAGCUCCGCGGCUUCCCAGGGUUCUUCCUCCGUGAGGAGGCUGAUCCAGUCCCAGGCUUGGCCAGUGGUUUAUGUCUAAAGCGGUGCAAUUGAGCCUUUAUACGAUUUUGACCUUCAGUAUUAAGGAUGGGAACCCAAAAAUAUUUAUAUAAAUAAAAUACUUAAUGAUUGUAAGGAUUACACUAAAAAGAUCUUUUUCAGAAUCAUUUACUGCACAAUGUAGAUAGUUCUAGCUACUACAGCAAUGCAAUAUUUUUGAAGCAAUAUUGAUACUAAAUGAUACUAAAGGUAGUAAAGUAAUUACUGAACAGACAUUGAUGCUUUUCACCUGUCUCAGUGCCUGGGGCAAAUCUCCCACUCAGCCUCGAGCAAUUGCUCCGAUGGGCACCCCUCAGCUCCAGGGAGGAAUUUCCACACACACUCACAGAAAUACCAGAAUAAGGAAAGAACAAAAGUUACUUUUCAGUUCUUUUCCAGCCUAAAUGAUUCUGUGAUCAUUCAAUCCAUCCACCAACGCAGCCCUGCCAAGCAAAAAAAAAAACAAAACCAUGAAAAAGCUACCAACUCCCAAGAGCCACACCCACACGUUUUUUGAACACUCCAGGGACGGUGCCCUGCUCCGGGCAGCCUGUCACAGUCCCUGAGCACCCUUUCAGGGAAGAAAUUUUCCUGAGUAUCCAGUCCCUGCCUAGGACUGGAUGUUCAGGAAAACAACCUGGGGCUGUUCCACCUCUUGUGUGAGCCCAAAAGCCCCACGGAGCCGUGCUGGGGCCACGCUCCAGCUGACACAGCCAGAGAAACCCCGACUGCAGCACAUCCAGCUUGGGAAGAGGCACUGCAGAACUGCAGGCAAGACUGAGGAGCUGUGGGAAAUGCUGCUUUCAGGAUUCCAAGCUUCAUCCAGAGGCAGGUGUGGACUUAGUGAACCUGACAUUUUCCUCAGCCACCUCAAACCAGCCACUUUUUAAGCAGGAUAUUUACUUCAUGAAAGGUUAAAAUAAAAUAAAACUAUGUGAGUGA